GGUUCAUUCAAAUUUCUGCCUAUCAACUUUCGAUGGUAGGAUAGUGGCCUACCAUGGUAUCAACGGGUAACGGGGAAUUAGGGUUCGAUUCCGGAGAGGGAGCCUGAGAAACGGCUACCACAUCCAAGGAAGGCAGCAGGCGCGCAAAUUACCCAAUCCCGACCGGGGAGGUAGUGACAAUAAAUACUGAUACAGGGCUCUUUUGGGUCUUGUAAUUGGAAUGAGUACAAUUUAAAUCCCUUAACGAGGAACAAUUGGAGGGCAAGUCUGGUGCCAGCAGCCGCGGUAAUUCCAGCUCCAAUAGCGUAUAUUAAAGUUGUUGCAGUUAAAAAGCUCGUAGUUG
rnacentral:rRNA from 1 species